rnacentral:rRNA from 1 species
AGAGUUUGAUCCUGGCUCAGAACGAACGCUGGCGGCAGGCCUAACACAUGCAAGUCGAACGAGAAGCCACCUUCGGGUGAUGGGCAGUGGCAGACGGGUGAGUAACGCGUGGGAACGUGCCUUUCGGUUCGGGAUAACCCAGGGAAACUUGGACUAAUACCGGAUACGCCCUUCGGGGGAAAGAUUUAUUGCCGAAAGAUCGGCCCGCGUCGGAUUAGCUAGUUGGUGAGGUAAAAGCUCACCAAGGCGACGAUCCGUAGCUGGUCUGAGAGGAUGACCAGCCACACUGGAACUGAGACACGGCCCAGACUCCUACGGGAGGCAGCAGUGGGGAAUAUUGGACAAUGGGCGCAAGCCUGAUCCAGCCAUGCCGCGUGGGUGAAGAAGGCCUUAAGGUUGUAAAUCCCUUUCAGCGGGGAAGAUAAUGACGGUACCCGCAGAAGAAGCCCCGGCUAACUCCGUGCCAGCAGCCGCGGUAAUACGGAAGGGGCUAGCGUUGUUCGGAAUUACUGGGCGUAAAGCGCGCGUAAGCGGAACUGUAAAUCUGGGGUGAAAGCCCGAAGCUCAACCUCGGAACUGCCUCCGAAACUACAGGGCUUGAGUCCCAGAAAGGUGAGUGGAAUUUCUAGUGUAGAAGGGAAAUUCCUAGAUAUUAGGAAGAACACCCGUGGGGAAGGGGGGGUCCCGGGUUCCGUACUG